GGAUGAACGCUAGCGGCAGGCUUAACACAUGCAAGUCGAGGGGUAACAGGGAAGCUUGCUUCCGCUGACGACCGGCGCACGGGUGCGUAACGCGUAUAGAACCUACCUUUUACAGAGGGAUAGCCUUUAGAAAUGAAGAUUAAUACCUCAUAGUACUAUAGAUUCGCAUGAAUUUAUAUUUAAAGAUUUAUCGGUAAAAGAUGGCUAUGCGUCCUAUUAGCUAGAUGGUAAGGUAACGGCUUACCAUGGCAACGAUAGGUAGGGGUCCUGAGAGGGAGAUCCCCCACACUGGUACUGAGACACGGACCAGACUCCUACGGGAGGCAGCAGUGAGGAAUAUUGGGCAAUGGAGGCAACUCUGACCCAGCCAUGCCGCGUGCAGGAAGACGGCCCUAUGGGUUGUAAACUGCUUUUAUACAGGAAGAAACCCUCGUACGAGUACGAGCUUGACGGUACUGUAAGAAUAAGGACCGGCUAACUCCGUGCCAGCAGCCGCGGUAAUAAGG
rnacentral:rRNA from 1 species